UUGAUUGAUUUGUAUUCAAUACUCGACGCAAAGAUGCAGGGUUGGUUGGUCCUCUGGGGGACUCCCGGGCGCGGACGGCCGGGUCGCCCCCCGAGGCAACAAUUAAUAUCGACAAAGGGUUGGAGGUCGGGCGCGGGGGCCCUCACUCAGUAAUGAUCCCUCCGCAGGUUCACCUACGGAGA
rnacentral:misc_RNA from 1 species